AACAGGAGGGUGAGGAGUCACAGGACAGAGUCAGAGAGAAACAGGAGGGUGAGGAGUCACAGGACAGAGUCAGAGAGAAACAGGAGGGUGAGGAGUCAAACAGGUAGAAACAGGAGGGUGAGGAGUCACAGGACAGAGUCAGAGAGAAACAGGAGGGUGAGGAGUCAAACAGGAUAGAGUCAGAGAGAAACAGGAGGGUGAGGAGUCAAACAGGACAGAGUCAGAGAGAAACAGGAGGGUGAGGAGUCACACAGGACAGAGUCAGAGAGAAACAGGAGGGUGAGGAGUCAAACAGGACAGAGUCAGAGAGAAACAGGAGGGUGAGGAGUCACAGGACAGAGUCAGAGAGAAACAGGAGGGUGAGGAGUCACAGGACAGAGUCAGAGAAACAGGAGGGUGAGGAGUCAAACAGGACAGAGUCAGAGAGAAACAGGAGGGUGAGGAGUCACAGGACAGAGUCAGAGAGAAACAGGAGGGUGAGGAGUCAAACAGGACAGAGUCAGAGAGAAACAGGAGGGUGAGGAGUCAAACAGGACAGAGUCAGAGAGAAACAGGAGGGUGAGGAGUCAAACAGGACAGAGUCAGAGAGAAACAGGAGGGUGAGGAGUCAAACAGGACAGAGUCAGAGAAACA